GGCUGGUUAGCUCGGUUAGAGUGUGGUGCUAAUAAUGCCAAGGUCACAGGUUCGAUCCCUGUACAGGCCA